rnacentral:misc_RNA from 1 species
GGCGGCCCUUGGUCCUGCUCAUCCUCGGAAGCUGAGGAGUUGUUAUCACCAGCAGAAGCAGAGCAAUUAAGGUGGCUUGGUCUCUCGAAGUGGNNNNNNNGAGCCCUACUGAUGUUUCUACAAAAUCCACGGAUCGAUUUCCCGCUAGAAAAUCCAGGGGCGGCAGCAGUUCUCGGCGGAAGCGAAUAGAGGACUCGAUUUUGGUGGUGUAGAGGUCUCAAUGGCUCUGUUAUGAACGCAGAGAAAUGCGCAAGAGUCCUGGAAGCCAUNNNNNNNNNNUACGUCUCUUCUUCCAAGCGGCUUUUAUAUGGCUUUUGGUUUUGGCCAUCCGAUUGACGAGAUUUU